rnacentral:rRNA from 1 species
UAGGGAAUCUUCCACAAUGGACGAAAGUCUGAUGGAGCAACGCCGCGUGAGUGAAGAAGGGUUUCGGCUCGUAAAACUCUGUUGUUAAAGAAGAACAUAUCUGAGAGUAACUGUUCAGGUAUUGACGGUAUUUAACCAGAAAGCCACGGCUAACUACGUGCCAG